rnacentral:rRNA from 1 species
UACGUAGGUGGCAAGCGUUGUCCGGAUUUACUGGGCGUAAAGGAUGCGUAGGCGGACAUUUAAGUCAGAUGUGAAAUACCCGAGCUUAACUUGGGUGCUGCAUUUGAAACUGGGUGUCUAGAGUGCAGGAGAGGUAAGUGGAAUUCCUAGUGUAGCGGUGAAAUGCGUAGAGAUUAGGAAGAACACCAGUGGCGAAAGCGACUUACUGGACUGUAACUGACGCUGAGGCAUGAAAGCGUGGGGAGCAAACAGG